ACAAGCGGUGGAGCAUGUGGUUUAAUUCGACGCAACGCGAAGAACCUUACCAGGGCUUGACAUCCCCUGACCGCGUAUGAAAGUACGUUUUCACCCUCGGGUGACAGGGAGACAGGUGGUGCAUGGUUGUCGUCAGCUCGUGUCGUGAGAUGUUGGGUUAAGUCCCGCAACGAGCGCAACCCCUACGCUUAGUUGCUAACGCGUGAAGGCGAGCACUCUAGACGAACUGCCGUUGACAAAACGGAGGAAGGUGGGGAUGACGUCAAAUCAUCAUGCCCCUUAUGUUCUGGGCUACACACGUGCUACAAUGGCCGGUACAAAGGGCAGCAAAGCCGCGAGGUGGAGCCAAUCCCAGAAAGCCGGUCUCAGUUCGGAUUGCAGGCUGCAACUCGCCUGCAUGAAGUCGGAGUUGCUAGUAAUCGCAGAUCAGAAUGCUGCGGUGAAUGCGUUCCCGGGUCUU
rnacentral:rRNA from 1 species